GCUCGUAGUUGAAUCUCAGUUCCAGACAGGCGGUCCGCUCCGGUGGUUACUGCCUGGCCUGAACAUCCUGACGGUUUUCCUUCUGUGCUCUUGACUGAGUGUCGUAGGUGCCCGUCACGUUUACUUUGAAAAAAUUGGAGUGCUCAAAGCAGGCGUUCCGCCUGAAUAAUGGUGCAUGGAAUAAUGAAAGAGGACUUCGAGUUCUAUUGUGUUGGUUUUCGGAACACGAGGUAAUGAUUAAAAGGGACAGACGGGGGCAUUCGUAUUGCGACGCUAGAGGUGAAAUUCUUGGACCGUCGCAAGACGAACUACAGCGAAAGCAUUUGCCAAGAAUGUUUUCAUUAAUCAAGAACGAAAGUUAGAGGUUCGAAGGCGAUCAGAUACCGCCCUAGUUCUAACCAUAAACGAUGCCAACCAGCGAUCCGCCUGAGUUACUCAAUUGACUCGGCGGGCAGCUUCCGGGAAACCAAAGUUUGUGGGUUCCGGGGGAAGUAUGGUUGCAAAGCUGAAACUUAAAGGAAUUGACGGAAGGGCACCACCAGGAGUGGAGCCUGCGGCUUAAUUUGACUCAACACGGGAAAACUUACCCGGCCCGGACACCGGAAGGAUUGACAGAUUAAGAGCUCUUUCUUGAUUCGGUGGGUGGUGGUGCAUGGCCGUUCUUAGUUGGUGGAGCGAUUUGUCUGGUUAAUUCCGAUAACGAACGAGACUCUAGCCUACUAAAUAGGCGACCGAUCACUUGUGUCGGUCUUCCUUCUUAGAGGGACAAGCGGCGUUUAGCCGCACGAGACAGAGCAAUAACAGGUCUGUGAUGCCCUUAGAUGUCCGGGGCCGCACGCGCGCUACACUGAAGGAAUCAGCGUGUGUUUACCCCUGUCCGGCAGGACUGGGUAACCCGAUGAACCUCCUUCGUGAUAGGGAUAGGAGCUUGUAAUUGUUCUCCUUGAACGAGGAAUUCCCAGUAAGCGCGAGUCAUAAGCUCGUGUUGAUUACGUCCCUGCCCUUUGUACACACCGCCCGUCGCUACUACCGAUUGAAUGAUUUAGUGAGGUCUUCGGACUGGUGCUCGGAGCGGCUCUCGGGUCGCACCGCCGUACCGGAAAGAUGACCAAACUUGAUCAUUUAGAGGAAGUAAAAGUCGUAACAAGGUUUCC
rnacentral:rRNA from 2 species